GCUGAGGAAUGAUGACAGUAAAAGGCCGAAUUGCAGUGUCUCCAUCAGCAGUUUGCUCUCUACGUGGACACACGAUGACAAAACCUCCUGAAGCGAACCAUUGUCUGACCUCAGU
ensembl:snoRNA Snord89 small nucleolar RNA, C/D box 89